AUCUAAUGCUUCUCCCUGGAAAGUCAUCAAGCGAAAUUUAGGUUCCAUGCAGAUAAUGUAACUUGGUUUCCCCGCUGUAACUUCUGGUAUCCCCCACACUCCGCUUAUUGUAUUAGAAGCCAGCAGCGCAGGCACCUUGCGGCCGCUCCAGAUCCACCUCGUUUGGCUCCUCCAACCGUCCGCUUUACAACUCUCUUUUCCGUAGAGCAUUACUGUGGCGGACAGAGCACCUGUGGGAGGUGCAGGAGAUGCCGAGCUUAGUGGGGUACGGCCUCCGCCCCAGCGCUCGCCGGCUGCUGGAGGGGCGCAGCGCUGAGGUCACCGCAGCCGUUAGACUGUCUGCAGCCCUCCCAGACACCUUGUAGGGUAGUGAUUAAGAGUACACACUCUGGAGCCAGCCAGCCUGGAUUAAAUCCCAGCUCUCCUAUGGGCCUCAGAAGAGUUACUGGCAACCUCUCUGGGCCUUGGUUUUCUCCUCACUGGGAAGAUUAAAUGAGUUAAACCAUAUACCUGGCACAUGUGUUGAAGGUGGAGCUUGCUGAGAGGCAUUUGGAUCAUAGGGGAGGAUCCUUCACGGCUUGGUGCUGUCCUAGUGAUGAAUUCCACCACUGAGAGCCAUUGUUGGAGUCUUCCAGACUUUGAAGGUCUCAGGAAGUAGAGAGCCCAGUGUGUCUGCGCAGAGAGAAGGGAGUCUCAGGAGUAUCACUGCCUCGUGAAGGAGUUGAAAGGCUGUCACGGGGUGGUCUGGUCGAACUUCUGAGUGAUCAACAGGUUUUAUCUCUCCUACUAGAUCUAAGCAACUCGAGGGCAUGAUUCUAUCUGAUUCAGCCUACACAGGGCUCAUACUCAAGAGAGAGCUGGUCGGAUGGUACAAUUCCUUGAAUGGGGAGAAGCUGGGGAAAGGAAGUAUGAUCUUCAGGCAAUAAGGAACUGUCAUCCUUCUAUUUGUCUCCAAGCCUUCCUGAAAAGAUCUUUCAAGAGAGUUCCAUUCAGCCCCUCGGUGUCUAAAUCUACUGAAGAGCUGAUCUUCCACAUCAAGAGACUCCUCCAUUGUCCUGGAAUGUGUACCUCUGAAUUGAAGCCACAGCAGAGCCAGUCUGCAGGGGCUGAAAAAUGCAAUGUUACUGAGAAGGUAGGCCAGGCAUCCCGUGUUCAGGCCCUCAGGCCCUGAGAGGUUGCUCACUUCUGAUGCAGUGUGGUUGGGUAAUAAGAGCCAGACCCACUCCGGAGGCAAUCCCUUCCCACCUGUAGCCUUGUUUCCCCGCACUCACUGCUACUGUUUGUCUUCCUCACAACGAGCUCCCUCCCACCUGUUCCUUUCCUGAAGGUCAUUUUACUUGGCUUCCUGGUUUGCGCUCACACUCUGCAGUCAGCAGCUUAUCUCCCUAAAGAAGUUCAGUACCCACAUAUGGGACAACUUGCAGGACUCGCAGUAGCUAUGUGGACAGGGUCAUCAGGCUGCCUCUCUCUACGUCUGCCCUGAGGCUAUCAACAUGGCCUCAUCCAACUUCUCAGCUUUGGUUUGAUUUUCGUGGUCUGCCAUGAAGACGCAACUGUUUUCCCUGUCUUAUUUGUGCAGCCCUUAAAUCUCUCCAGAAGCUUGUUUCCUGGGGGAUCUGCUGACCAUAACCUGUACUAGAGGGGAAGGUCCUCUCUGCACUCAGUUUAUUUCCAGAGGAAUGAGGCCAAUGCACCGGGCAACAUCCAAAGGGAAGGGACCGAGAUAGGAGAGUCUGAGGGUGGCCUGACUUCAAGAAAGGGGAGGACAGAGGUGGAUCAGGAACUGCUCAUGACCAAGGGAAGCCGGUUGGACGUCAGUGUUUUUCCAGGUGAGAAGGAUGAGGCAUCAGUAGCUGUGUCCUCUAGAAACUGCCAAGCACCCUAGAAAGCUUCAUUUAUUCAUUCAUAUAUGUGUUAAAGAUAUAUUAAGCUCCUACCCUGAUAUAUACUGUGUAGGCAAUAUAGAAAUAAACAAAUCCUGUUUCCUGCCUCCUAGGACUGCCACUUGAGAAAGAGAAGCACAGAAAUAGAUCACAAAGUACCAUGUAGCACAUCUUUAGAAUGGAGGGGGACUGGAAUGGGGAAACUGGCAGUACCUGACAUUGUAUGAAUGCAAAAUAACUGGAUCUGUCACACAUUGCUGGGAAAUGCAAAAUAAUACAGCCACUUUGAAAAACAGUUUGGCAGUUUCUUAAAAGUUAAAUAUAUACUUACUUCUCUUGCCUGAGAUCUGGUAACUAAAAAAAAAAAAGUUAAAUAUAUACUUACCUUACAACUCAGAAAUCCCCUUCCUAGGUAUUUACCAGGAGAAAUGAAAACAUAUGUUCACAUAAAAAUUCUACAUGAAUGUUUAUAGCAGCUUCAUUCAUCAUUGCCCCAAACUUGAAACAACUCUAAUGUUCUUCAACUGAUGAAGUGAUCAGCUGUGGUACAUCCAUACCUCAGACUACUGCCUAGCACUGGACUACGGCUGCUUGCAACAACACGGAUGAAUCUCUCUGAGUGAAAGAAGCCAGACUCCAGAUUUCAUUUAUGUAACAUUCUGGAAAAGGCAAAAACAGAGGGGAAAAAAUAAAACCACCACAGAUUAGAUUGGUGGUUGUGAGAAGCUGGGGAUGGGGGAAGUUGCUGACUUGAAACGUGUGUGAGAGAAUGUUUUGGGGUGAUGGAAUUGUUCUGUGUCUUGAUUGUGGUGGCGGUUAUACAACUGAUGUGUCCGUAAAAAAUCUUGAAUUGUAUUUUACUUGGUGUAAAUUGCCCUUUAAUAAACCUGAAUGAAAAA